rnacentral:misc_RNA from 1 species
GUGAAUCAUCAAAUUUUUGAACGCAAAUUGCACUCUCCUCUGAUAGUAUGCCUGUUUGAGGGUCAGCCUAUAAAAAUCUACAUCGUUGCUUUUUCUCUUUGGCGUUCUUCGUAAAUUGUGUCAUCUUAAAUCCUUUUGAUUUAAGCGACUUAUAAUUUUCUUUUUUUUCCAUGAACGUUUCUAAGAUCUAUUUCUUUAUACGGUUAAGGUAUCUAUUUUUACUAGACGUGACCAUCAUAUCGGAUCGCGUCCAUAAUCUUUCAUUAACUGACCUCAGACAUGUAAGAUUACCCGCUGAA